rnacentral:rRNA from 1 species
UACGUAGGUGGCAAGCGUUGUCCGGAUUUACUGGGCGUAAAGAGCGCGCAGGCGGUCGUUCAAGUCGCGUGUGAAAGCCCCCGGCUCAACUGGGGAGGGUCACGCGAUACUGAUCGACUCGAAGGCAGGAGAGGGUAGUGGAAUUCCUAGUGUAGAGGUGAAAUUCGUAGAUAUUAGGAGGAAUACCUGUGGCGAAGGCGGGUCUCUGGGCCGAUACUGACGCUGAGGAGCGAAAGCGUGGGGAGCGAACAGG